UGGGGAAUAUUGGACAAUGGGCGAAAGCCUGAUCCGGCCAUGCCGCGUGUGUGAAGAAGGUCUUCGGAUUGUAAAGCACUUUAAGUUGGGAGGAAGGGCAGUAAGCUAAUACCUUGCUGUUUUGACGUUACCGACAGAAUAAGCACCGGCUAACUCUGUGCUAG
rnacentral:rRNA from 1 species